CCCGGGCCUUGUACACACCGCCCGUCACACCAUGGGAGUGGGUUGUACCAGAAGUAGGUAGAAUAACCGCAAGGGGUUCGCUUACCACGGUAUGGUCCAUGACUGGGGUG
rnacentral:rRNA from 1 species